rnacentral:tRNA from 1 species
GCCGGAGUGGCGGAACUGGCAGACGCGCCAGACUCAAAAUCUGGUGGGGUUCACGCCCCGUGCGGGUUCGACUCCCGCCUCCGGCACCA